AAGGUCGUGCACGCCGGAGCGUUCUCACACACAAUCCACCUCACCACUUGUGCUUCACCGCGCGGGGUCGCUCCCUCUUGGCUCGCUUCGAGAGGGGGAGGCUUGCGUCUUUUUCACACACACACACACACAAUAUACAGUCUGGUAGUUUAGAAUGUCAAUCAAUACAACUUUCAACAAUGGAUCUCUUGGCUCUCGCAUCGAUGAAGAACGCAGCGAAAUGCGAUACGUAAUGUGAAUUGCAGAAUUCAGUGAAUCAUCGAAUCUUUGAACGCACCUUGCACCCCUUGGUAUUCCGAGGGGUACACCCGUUUGAGUGUCGUGAAUUUCUCAAACCUUCUUGGUUUCUUGAUCAAGAGGGCUUUGGACUUUGGAGGUCUUUGCCGGCUUUGCGAAAAGUCGGCUCCUCUUAAAUGCAUUAGUGGGGUCCCCUUUGCCGAUCUCUAGGCGUUGAUAAUACGUUUCUACGUCUUGGGAUUUGCUCUGUUCCUUGGGAACCCGCUUCUAACCGUCUCAUCGUCGGAGACAUCGUUCGAGC
rnacentral:rRNA from 1 species